CGUGAGACUCUGGGCUGUCAGUAAAGUGUUAAACUUUUGACAAGAGUUCAGGCAGUUCUUUUUGACAUGUGGCAAAACAACAUGGCGCUGACCACAGCAGAGCUUGACUUUAGGGCGAAACGCCAACAAAACUUAAUCUGCACACUUAGUGCCGGUGAGCACAAGGCCUGGAUCCGGCAUGUCAUCUCCCAGGUACACAUGAGUCCCACGGCAGAGGAUACGUCCCCCCUCCUGCAGCGGGAUGUUGGUUUCUAUGGAGACAGCGUUGGUGCCAAUCACUGGCCGGUUGGCUCCGCCCUGACACUGGAUCUUCCCGCAUUUAGCAUCUCUGUAAAACAGCAGGAAGUCACAUGUGCAGAAUCUUUUUUUCACUGGAAAAAGGUCACUGAUGAUGCAUUAUUCUGCUAGUUUAUGACAAAAGAUUUGAGUAUGAAAAUAUGGGUCAAUAGUCAAAGUGAUCUGAAUUAGGUCCAAAACAAACUCCAUGGCAGAACUGCCAGGUGAUAUAUAAAUAAAUAAAAUGUAAAUAAAACAA